GCAGGAUCUGAACACAGAAGCAUGCGCGGCCAGAAUGGGCAAGGCAGAGGCACAAAGAGGAGAGCAGCAGGAGGAAGAAAAGAGGCAACAUCAUUUUAGCCACUUCAACACACGACUAACAGACUACAAUCCCAUUAUUUUCUGCUACAGAAUACCGCUGGCACCACCUGGAAAAAAGUGAUCGUUAGGCAAAUAUCAGUGAUCACUGCCGGCAGCUGAAGGUGGUUUGGGAAACAGCUUUGAGAAAUGUGGGCAAUUACGGGGAAAUUCACAGCUCUUCAAAUUUCUGAAGUCUGGAAAAGCUGCCAAAUCCCGGAGGCGAUGCCUGACUCCUGUAUCUGCACCCUCCUGGCUCCCUGCCUGCCCAGCAGUGUCUGCACACGGAGAAAAGAGGAGGAAACGUCGCAGAAGCAGGCUGAAAGCAGAGUUAGCACCAAGGAGACCUAGCCCAGGAGAUCAAAGGAAAGGCUGUUACCUGUGCUCCAGAAAACCGAGGGAGAUGUGCAGGGUUUUUGGGGCUGGACUGGCUGCUGGGGAUGGUUGCUGCCUCCCAGGUAAGAUCCUCUUAGGAGUUGGGUUUCAAGUAAGUGAAACCCAAAUGUGUUUUUGUGCACUUGCUAUGGCUUCUGCACAGCAUGAAUUCAUUCUGGGCUUGUGCCUUUUCUCAGGGAUUAACCCUCAUCUCCAAUACCCCUGGAUCCAGCACCACAGGAAUUUUGGCUCAGCACUUUGCAUGAUAUUUUUGCAUAUUUAGAAACUGCAAUAAACUCAAGAGGUGAUGGCAGCCAUGUCCCCACCCCUACCCUCACAUCUGCUCCAGCUUCUUCCCAACACACUGCUCUGUGCCCUGGCUCAUGAGUCCAGGGCUAUGCUGCAAAUGCAGUUAAGACCCAGAUUUAUGGUGCAGGCUGUGUCAGAAAGUGUGAGGGAAAAUGUUAGUGGAUGUAAACCAGCUGUAACAAAGCCUGUGCCUGUGCCUGCGCUGCUCAGCACCUCUGCCAGCUCCCACCAGAACUCCUCAGCCCACUCUGAUGCAUCUCACCUGGGGAUCCCACCCAUUAUUGCUUUAAUUAAUGAACUGAUAAUUUAAUUACUACAUUUAAUCAGAGUAAAAGAAUUAAACAAGAUUUGCUGCAUGCAAUGGAGAGAGUAUGAUCAAUAGCUGAUGCUCCUGUUAUAUUCUUAUUCCUCCUCCUUAUGUUUCUAAAAAGCACUUGGUCCAUUUUAGAAGCUUCCCUAUUUCCAAAACAUGCUUUAAUGUGGCACCUUAUACCCAAACUGAAACUGGUUCUUGAUAGUCCCUGAUUCCAAAUGGGAAAGAAAGUUUUAGGAAAUCCAUGGAAAUUUAUUUUAAAGUAAUAGUAAUCUAUUUUGGUGCUUUUGCAGUUCUGGACCCAUCUCUCAUUAUUCUUUCAUUAAUAAAAAAGUCCUAUUUUAUCCCCAAACUGCCUCUCUGAUUCACGAGAUGCAGCACCUCCCCUCGUCCCCUAAUGAGCUGAUUAAUGAGGGCACAGCAGCAAGGAAGCAAAUCUGGCUGUGUGGUGCAGGCAGCUCCCAGGGCUGCCUUUGACCUGUGACUUUUUAUAUGACUUCUUGUGGUUUGAGUGAAGGUGGAAAGCUCUGAGCUGUGGUAAGCUUUUCCUUCAGUGGGGGAGCAACUCUAUUUCCUGCCUUAUAUCUGUAUCACGUGCUGCACAAGUGACCUACAUUCCUCCUCCUCAUCCCCGCUCAAAUUCGGAGAGAAAAGCAUCUCUUCCAACAACCACAACACCCAAACCAGCUGGUUCACAGUUCUGGGAGGACCAAUAUGCACUUUGGAACCCACCAUCUAUCUUCUGGAGAAAGGAAUCAGCCCUUGGUUUCCCAAGGAAACAGAUGAAAAUGAUACAGGACUGGGAUUUCCAUGGAGGAUGUGCUUGCCUUGGAGGAAAAUGGUGCCAUUUGUCUCAGCAAUGCUGAUGCCCUCCAGAUGUGUGCCCAUCAAAGUGUGGGCUGGGGGCUUCCUGUCAUCUCUGCCCUCUGUUUUUGGGGGGUGUUUAGUCCAACCCUCUGACAUGAGCAGGGACACUUUUCACUAGACCUGGUUACUCCAAUCCCUGUCCAGCUUGACCUUGGACACUUCAGGGAUGGGGCAUCCACAGCUUCUCUGGGCAGCCUGUGCCAGGGCCUCACCACCCUCACAGGUACCUCAGCUGCUGUCCAAGAUGCACAGAGCCAUUUGUUUCCAUAAAAUGACAUUUCCAGAAAUAUAUCCACAGCACUCAAAAGCUUCUCUUCCUUUCUAUUUGUAUUUGCUUGGACAAUAAGCAAAUAAAUGUUUGUGGUUGCUGGGG